ensembl:lncRNA
UUCGGACCCCUUUUAAAUAUUACUUGAUUUCACUGUUAUUUCACUGAUUUGAACGUGUUAUUGAAUCCUACUUAUCUUUUUUAAUUAAUCCUAACACAUUCUUCCAUGGUUUUCAAAAAGCUAAUUUCCUUCAUUUAAAAGUUACAUGAAAGAAAUGUGUACAUUUCGAAACCACAUUCAACUUCCACAUCUGCGCAUGUGCGACCACAAACUGCCCCUGGAGGACGCGGGAAUCUUUCUCGCGGGAAUCUAUCUCACUUUUAAAGAUUUGCUGCAUCUCCUGGCUGUCUGGGUAUCCAAGGCUCUACGUUUCCAGACCCGCUACGUCAUUCGCUGCCACCGCGACAUGUUCGCACCAUAAUGGGACGUCGUUAGUUGGAGGUACAUCCAGAAGAGGAGCAGUAGCGCUUGAAGCAACCCCCGAUCGGAGAGGUCAACAGCGGAAGUGGGGGAGGAGGCGGUGAGGCUGAAGAACGCCGCCAUUAACGAGACUUUUAUGACCAAGUCGCGGACAAACGGCCUGAUACACUCACCUGCAUGAACUGCUCAUAAGUGCAAUGGCGAACACCUUUCUGUGAAAGGUUGAAAAUGAUUGGCCAGUUGGUUUUACGCAGCCCCAACGCCUCUCACCAUGGACACAAACCGUGUGUGCCUCCCUUCUGGGUGGAGGCUGCAGAAUAUCACUGUACAAAUACAGUUUCUUCCCAUCUGCAGGUGGGUUCAUCAACGUUUUAAUGUGCCGAUUUAAUAUUUGGUAACCGUAUUUUAUCAUAAAUUUAUGAAUCUUCAUAUUUCACUACAAUCACUGAGCAAAUUCUGUUGAAUGUGUGUUAGAAAAAAUGGAAAGAAAUGGAAGAGAGUCAAUAAAACCUUACAACAUUAGCCAACACAGCCACCAUGCUGUUCCUGUUCCUGUCUGAUAAAAUCAUCCUGAAAAAAAACACUUUCAUAGAUUCUCUGUCCACUAAGACAGAACAAUAAUUUCAUUUCCGCAACAAUGUGUAACUCACUUGGCAAUAAAUAUGCCAAGUUUUUGAUGCUGUUAGUAUAUCGGCUGGUUCUGUAAAGCAAAGCUCUUACAGAUUCUUUGUUUCAUUACUCCUUUCUUUAGUAAAGUCAGUACUCAUCUUGCCUGUUUGUGCUUCUCUUCCCCACUGACUUUGUACCACUUAUUGACGUGGCAAUCAAACAGAGAGGCGGUUUUCAAAGUACAGUAAAGCACACAAUGAGGUCAAUUACGUCUGCAAGAGUUGCUAAUGUCUUCCUUCCUUGCUUUCAAAUGAUUGUCUCCCUCCCAUCCAUUAAUGCGAGAUGAUUAGAGCCAUUACAAAAUAACCCGAUCCAUUCAGCCCUACUUACGCUCAGCGGAUUACAUUCAUGACUCGCGUUCAGCCCCCUGGGCAGAAGUCCACGUAGGCCGGCAGUAAGCGCUGGAUGACUUUGUGCUCUGCUUUCUUGACCACUGCCAUAUUAUACCUAUCGUCGACAUAUACGGACUGGACAACUGGCUAGGUAGCUGGUUGGCUUGUCCAUUUCCAGAGGCUCCCCGGGCCCCUUAACGAGAGCACACUGUGUGGGAUGGGUUGAAUCUUUUAUCAGAUAAAAUGUAUGCAAGAGCGAUUGUGGUACCCAACAAUACUGCAAGAGUGCUGCAGCAAACACUGUGAUGGCAUCAUUUAAAAGAUAUUUUUCCAGUGCUUGUAUGGUUAAUAUACCAUAAUAAUAUUAGUGCUGAGCAAAGAUGAAAAAAUUGAAUCGAUUAAUCGCUGGACUUUUCUGUGAUUAAUGGUGAUUAAUCGCAUUAUGCGCAAAAUGUAAUAAUUCAAUGAAAACCAGUGUAUUGCACACUUUUAUUUUAAAGUAAUGUUACCAGAACAAUAUAGAAAGAAACAUUUGUCUUUUAUCAGGGAACAGUAUAAUGCAGCAUAUGUUCAGUAGGAAGGGUCCCUAUGAGGUGGUGUACUCCGGGCUCCUAGUACUCCAGCCUCCGUGUACUCCGGGCUCCUAGUACCACAGGCUCCUAGUACUACAGGCUCCUAGUUAUCCGGGCUCCUAAGACUCUAGGCUCCUAGUACUCUAGGCUCCUAGUACUCCAAGCUCCUAGUACUCCAGGCUCCUAGUACUACAGGCUCCUAGUACUCCAAGCUCCUAGUACUCCGGGCUCCUAGUACUACAGGCUCCUAGUAAUCCGGGCUCCUAAAACUCAAGGCUCCUAGUACUCCGGGCUCCUAGUACUAUAGGCUCCUAGUACUCCAAGCUCCUAGUACUCCAGGCUCCUAGUACUCCAGGCUCCUGGUACUACAGGCUCCUAGUACUCCAAGCUCCUAAUACUCCCGGCUCCUAGUACUACAGGCUCC